rnacentral:rRNA from 1 species
GACGAACGCUGGCGGCGUGCCUAAUACAUGCAAGUAGAACGCUGAAGGAGGAGCUUGCUUCUCUGGAUGAGUUGCGAACGGGUGAGUAACGCGUAGGUAACCUGCCUGGUAGCGGGGGAUAACUAUUGGAAACGAUAGCUAAUACCGCAUAAGAGUAGAUGUUGCAUGACAUUUGCUUAAAAGGUGCAAUUGCAUCACUACCAGAUGGACCUGCGUUGUAUUAGCUAGUUGGUGGGGUAACGGCUCACCAAGGCGACGAUACAUAGCCGACCUGAGAGGGUGAUCGGCCACACUGGGACUGAGACACGGCCCAGACUCCUACGGGAGGCAGCAGUAGGGAAUCUUCGGCAAUGGACGGAAGUCUGACCGAGCAACGCCGCGUGAGUGAAGAAGGGUUUCGGAUCGUAAAGCUCUGUUGUAAGAGAAGAACGAGUGUGAGAGUGGAAAGUUCGCACUGUGACGGUAUCUUACCAGAAAGGGACGGCUAACUACGUG